rnacentral:lncRNA from 1 species
CCUCAGGUUUCCUCCGCCCCAUCACAGUGCGGGAGCUUUACUACGCUGCCCACUCUCAAUAGGCAGGGCUGACGGUAAGAUUUCAGAUGCCGGCCAACCUCUCAGAGGGAACAGGUGUCCCCUCUGUCUGCCCGUGGUCGAGGUCCCGUGGUGGAAGCAUGGGAAAGGGCAGCCACCGCAGAGGUUCUACCCCAGCGGACAGGUAACAGAGCGCCUUUCAACUCGGCCUGAAUUCAGCUAAAUUGGUAUCCUUUUAGGCACCACGGGAAGCAGUUGGAUCUAGGAAAUAAAGAGCGGAAAUUUGCAGAGUGAUUCCCAGUUGGCUUGAGGAGUAUGGAGCUCUUACAAUGGGAAAGGAGAGGAACUAUUUUGAUGUGUAAAUGAGAUAAGAAAAAAGGGUCUUAGGCCAGAAUUGCUUAACUUUAUUGCCUUAAUGGAGGUGAUCAGACUACACUAAUUGUGUAACCAGUGAAUAAUUCAGUGACUGAAAUAUACUGCCCUCAACGGACUUUAGCAAACACAUCAACAAUCACCUUUCCGACAAUUUCCUGGGGACAUUUUUUUCUUUCAGGCUUGAGAUGAGGAGGGGUUUUAAGCCUGGUGGUGAGCAGAUCAUUAAGAAGAGAGAUCAAAAGAGCAGCAGGGUCAGCCCUGAAGGAAGCAGCUCAUCAGUCUGACCUGUGAUCACAGGUGCAGGUGUGAUGGG